AAGUCAUGCGUCACUAACUUGUUUUUUUUGAGGAGGCGGCAAAGAUGAUCGAGGAAAAAGCGGUUGAUGUUAUCUACAUGAACUUCAGUAAAGCCUUUGACAAGGUCCCUCAUGGCAGACUGAUACAAAAAGUGAAAUCACAUGGUACCAGGGGUGAGCUGGCAAGAUGGAUACAAAACUGGCUGAAUCAUAACAGAGAGAAGGUAGCGGUGGAAAGAUGCUUUUCAGAGGGCUAUAACUAGUGGUGUUCCACAGGGAUCAGUGUUAGGACCUCUGCUGUUCUUGAUCUGAAUAAACGACUUGGAGGAAAACAUGGCUGGUCUAAUUAAGUUUGCGGACGAUACAAAGGUUGGAGGAGUUGCGGAUUGACGUGGAUUGUCAGAGGACAGCAGGACAUAUGUCAGUUGGAGGCA